GGGGAGGUCGCAUAGAGGCCUAGUGCGGCGGUUUGCUAAACCGCUAGGGGCAACCCCUCGUGGGUUCGAAUCCCACCCUCCCCGCCA
rnacentral:tRNA from 1 species